GUAGUCCACGCCGUAAACGAUGGGAACUAGAUUUAGUGGGUCUUGACCCCCGCUGAGUCGGCGCUAACGCAAUAAGUUCCCCGCCUGGGAAGUACGGUCGCAAGACUAAAACUCAAAGGAAUUGACGGGGGCCCGCACAAGCGGUGGAUCAUGUGGUUUAAUUCGAAGCAACGCGAAGAACCUUACCUGGAUUUGACAUCCUUGGACAACCCUAGAGAUAGGGCUUUCGUAGCAAUACGACCAAGUGACAGGUGCUGCAUGGCUGUCGUCAGCUCGUGUGGUGACAUGUUGGGUUAAGUCCCGCAACGAGCGCAACCCUUGUCUUUAGUUGCCAGCAUUCAGUUGGGCACUCUAAAGAGACUGCCGUGGUUAACACGGA
rnacentral:rRNA from 1 species